rnacentral:lncRNA from 1 species
GAGAAUCUCGGCAGUGAAACCGGAUCGGACGACGUCACUUCCGUCGAAUCACUCUUCAGUCCUCCUUCUUGGUUUGGAUCCGAAUCGGAAAGAAUUCAUUCCGAGCCGUCGCCGCUGCCGCCGACGGGCGAAGAAUCAGCCUCACCUCCGGCGACGAACAAGAAGCGGACGAGGUCACCUCCGGCGACGAACAAGAAGUGGACGAGGAGUAAAUCCUAUUCGGGGCGGCGGAAGAGCGCCGGGGGGUUUCCUCCGCCGCUGACGACGAUGAGCGGGCCGGAGUUGAUCCGAGUGAGGCCCCACAGGGAAAACGGGAGGUUGGU